GGGGGCGAAUAGGAUUCGAUCGGGAUAAGGAAAAAGAUAGCUGCAUGCCGAGGUUGCCGGGAGGCCUCGUAAAAACACCUGGCAAAAAACUAACUGCCAAUCAGCAGUUUGCUUAUGCUGCCUAAAUAGGCCAGCACGUCUCUCUGACUUAGCCUGUGGGGAGGAAGAGACGCCGUUUAGCAGGCUGGUUCCGUUCUUUGCUUAAGUGAACGGGGCGAGACUUUCUUAAGCUAGCCCCUUCCGCAUCCCGCCUAUAGGAGUCGGAAGAAGGCGAAAUUUAAAGAAUAGGCUAAACAUGUAGAUGCUGCUUUGGAUCUAUCUCGAGACAGGGGUUCGAUUCCCCUCGCCUCCACCA
rnacentral:tmRNA from 1 species